CUCCCCCUCUCUCUUUUUUUUGUGUGUUUGAGUGAGAGUUUUCCCUCUACUCUUAAUGAGGUCGUGAGAGCAUAGAGGAGCCAUUGAGGAGGCCUUCCCCCUCAUCCGGUCUUGAUCGACUGGGUCUUUAUUUGCGUCAGGAUGAGGUUCUCCUCUUAUUCCCGACAGUCAAUUUCAGCUCAUGUUAGGAUGAGGUUCUCCUUUUGUUCCUAAUAGG
rnacentral:lncRNA from 1 species